GCUCAAUAUAUGAUAAUGAUUUUAUGUAUAGUUGAGUUUUAAUAGGUUUUCAUGUUGUCUAAGCCAUUUUAUUACUCUUAACCAUUUUAAUGUGUGUAUGUCUUUAAAUGAGUCUGGGUCUGAUCACAUGACAGGAAAUAGGAAAUGGACAGCAUAAGGAGAUAGCAUGCCAAACAAGCAAGGUCAUUGCUUACGACCAUUUGGUGAUCACCUAUAUACUGGCUAGUGGAGUUAUCUUUGUGGACUCACCUUUCCUGUGCUUUUGGAUUAUCACUUCCGUGGACUUUUUGUAUAUACACCGGUGGACACUUUUACUUUGAAACUUACAACACUGGAUUUCUUAAGGACUUAAUGUGUACGCUGUGACUUCAACUAAAGCAGAAGAGAAAGGUUAUGCCUGUUAUUAUGACAAAGUGAGGAAGACCUUUCUCUCUGAUGAAUUCUCAGCUGUUUGGAUGCACUACAAUGAAAAGGUUAACCUUGAUAAAGCUACAUUCCAGGAUCAGUUUGAUUAUCUUCAGAAAAAGAUGAAGCUAUCUUGCUCCGGUCGUUUUGGGGACAUGGUAAUAACAACACUUUUUUUAUAUACAGUGUAUUAAUAAAUGUAUUCAAUUCUCUUUUCUUGUAAUUGUCACUAAUACAAGAUUGAACAGGAAUGCGUUCAGAUUUGGAAUUCAUCAGUAUUGGGAUCUGUUUUUGGUGUUUUUAAUCUGACUUUAAUUUAGACAAUUGUUAAAAAUCCAAUCAGUGAGUUUUUGAAAAACACCCCUCGGACAGUUCAACAGACGACUACAGCUCAGAUGUUGGUGUUAACGGAUAAAACUAACCACGAAGUCACUUUCAAAAUCUCGAAGCACCAAACUGAAACAGAAACUGAUGCAGGCAAGAGACAAGUUCUGAUCAGAAAAUAUGAAGCUCUUCAUCAGACUAGAGCUCAAAUUGAAGGAACAUUUGACGCUAUCAACCAGCGUUGCUUUCGUGGAGUUGUAGUUGAGGAUGAACUGGUUGGAUAUUAUAGGUCUGCGAAAGAUUUAUUUGCUUUUAAAAAUGAUGCUGAGCAUUUCAGGACAACCUGUUUUAACUGGCACGAGGACGAGGUGAACAACAUAAAGAUGACCCUCUCAUUGGCUAUAUGCACAUAUUCAUAUUGUCUGUUUGUCUUUUUCUUGUUUGUCUCUCACACAGUUUCUGAUCACCUUGUCCUACAUGCAUGUAUUUGCUCGUCUCUGUACAUAUGGGUUUGGAGCGGAGAGGUGUGUCUCUACAAGUACAAGAUUCUAGAAAAAACUAAGAAAAUAUGUAAAAUAUAUUUGAACAGUUAGUAAUUUGACAGUUUCUACAAUCAUUUCUUAAUUGUUGUAAACUUUUUGGUAUUGAUAUAGAAGAUAUUGAUCUUAAAUGUUUUCUUAAUUACCAAGUAUGUUUUUCUUUGUUGUGGAAUCAUAGAGGUCAUAACAGCAGUCUCCAGUGAAAGCCUCAGUGUGUUCCUAUAAACAACAUGCUUAUGAAAAAUCAAAUAGCAUGUGGAGUAAAUAUGCACAAAUGAAGUCAGUCUGCCAAAAACAUGGCUUUACUACAAGCCAAGCGCUAAAUUUCUGUGUAUAUUCAUCUGACUUUUUGACCUAAAAUAGCCAUGAAGCCAAGAAAAUAUUUAUUAAAUAAUAUACUGAACACAUUUACAAGUAAACAAUGUAGGUUUGAUUUAGUUUAUACACAGUUCUAUGAUUUCAAAUGGAUGAAUAUUUUGGAGGGGGCUCUGCGCCACCUACCCUUACGAAAAAGUAUACUUGCACUUCAUUUUAUGAAGUAUACUUAAGUAAUGUUGAAGUAUAUUUUAAGUAUACUUCAAGUAGUAAGUAUACUAACAUCUAUGUACUAGUAGUAUACUUGUAAGUGUACUAUUUGAAUUCCAAAUAAACUGACCUUGACCUAUAAGUUUGUUUAUAAAUCCAUUAUUUU
ensembl:lncRNA legumain-like